rnacentral:rRNA from 1 species
GACGAACGCUGGCGGCGUGCUUAACACAUGCAAGUCGAACGGAAAGGCCCUGCUUGCAGGGUACUCGAGUGGCGAACGGGUGAGUAACACGUGGGUGAUCUGCCCUGCACUUCGGGAUAAGCCUGCGAAACUGGGUCUAAUACCGGACAGGAGCCAUUUUUAGUGUGAUGGUUGGAAAGUUUUUUCGGUGUAGGAUGAGCUCGCGGCCUAUCAGCUUGUUGGUGGGGUAAUGGCCUACCAAGGCGGCGACGGGUAGCCGGCCUGAGAGGGUGGACGGCCACAUUGGGACUGAGAGACGGCCCAGACUCCUACGGGAGGCAGCAGUGGGGAAGAUUGCACAAUGGGCGCAAGCCUGAUGCAGCGACGCCGCGUGGGGGAUGACGGCCUUCGGGUUGUAAACUCCUUUCGCUAGGGACGAAGCUUUUUGUGACGGUACCUAGAUAAGAAGCACCGGCUAACUACGUG